GACGAACGCUGGCGGCGUGCCUAAUACAUGCAAGUCGAACGCACAGUUUAUACCGUAGCUUGCUCCACCAUAGACUGUGAGUUGCGAACGGGUGAGUAACGCGUAGGUAACCUGCCUGGUAGCGGGGGAUAACUAUUGGAAACGAUAGCUAAUACCGCAUAAUAUUAAUUAUUGCAUGAUAAUUAAUUGAAAGGUGCAAUUGCACCACUACCAGCUGGACCUGCGUUGUAUUAGCUAGUAGGUGAGGUAACGGCUCACCUAGGCGACGAUACAUAGCCGACCUGAGAGGGUGAUCGGCCACACUGGGACUGAGACACGGCCCAGACUCCUACGGGAGGCAGCAGUAGGGAAUCUUCGGCAAUGGACGAAAGUCUGACCGAGCAACGCCGCGUGAGUGAAGAAGGUUGUCGGAUCGUAAAGCUCUGUUGUAAGAGAAGAACGGGUGUGAGAGUGGAAAGUUCACACUGUGACGGUAUCUUACCAGAAAGGGACGGCUAACUACGUG
rnacentral:rRNA from 1 species